CCUACGGGAGGCUGCAGUGAGGAAUAUUGGUCAAUGGUCGCGAGCCUGAACCAGCCAAGUAGCGUGAAGGAUGACGGCCCUACGUGUUGUAAACUUCUUUUGUCAGGGAAUAAAGUCAGGCACGUGUGCCUGUAUGUGUGUAUUUUAUGAAUAAGGAUCGGCUAACUCCGUGCCAGCAGCCGCGGUAAUACGGAGGAUCCGAGCGUUAUCCGGAUUUAUUGGGUUUAAAGGGAGCGUAGAUGGGUUGUUAAGUCAGUUGUGAAAGUUUGGGGCUCAACCGUAAAAUUGCAAUUGAUACUGGCAGCCUUGAGUACAGUUGAGGUAGGCGGAAUUCGUGGUGUAGCGGUGAAAUGCUUAGAUAUCACGAAGAACUCCGAUUGCGAAGGCAGCCUACUAAACUGCCACUGACAUUGAGGCUCGAAAGUGUGGGUAUCAAACAGGAUUAGAUACCCGGGUAGUC
rnacentral:rRNA from 1 species